CCUACGGGAGGCAGCAGUGGGGAAUUUUGGACAAUGGGCGAAAGCCUGAUCCAGCAAUGCCGCGUGAGUGAAGAAGGCCUUCGGGUUGUAAAGCUCUUUUGUCAGGGAAGAAACGGUGUGGGCUAAUAUCCCGCACUAAUGACGGUACCUGAAGAAUAAGCACCGGCUAACUACGUGCCAGCAGCCGCGGUAAUACGUAGGGUGCAAGCGUUAAUCGGAAUUACUGGGCGUAAAGCGUGCGCAGGCGGUUUUGUAAGUUUGUCGUGAAAGCCCCGGGCUCAACCUGGGAAUUGCGAUGAAGACUGCAAGGCUUGAAUCUGGCAGAGGGGGGUAGAAUUCCACGUGUAGCAGUGAAAUGCGUAGAGAUGUGGAGGAACACCGAUGGCGAAGGCAGCCCCCUGGGUCAAGAUUGACGCUCACGCACGAAAGCGUGGGGAGCAAACAGGAUUAGAUACCCUGGUAGUCCACGCCCUAAACGAUGUCUACUAGUUGUCGGGUUUUAAUUAACUUGGUAACGCAGCUAACGCGUGAAGUAGACCGCCUGGGGAAUCGGUCGCAAGNUUAAACUAAAUGAAUUGACCGGNNGAGAGNGCGAGACGACGACGAGGAGAG
rnacentral:rRNA from 1 species